rnacentral:rRNA from 1 species
UACGUAGGGUGCGAGCGUUAAUCGGAAUUACUGGGCGUAAAGCGUGCGCAGGCGGUUUUGUAAGGCAGAUGUGAAAUCCCCGGGCUUAACCUGGGAAUGGCAUUUGGGACUGCAAGGCUGGAGUGUGGCAGAGGAGACUGGAAUUCCGCGUGUAGCAGUGAAAUGCGUAGAUAUGCGGAGGAACACCGAUGGCGAAGGCAAUCCCCUGGGCCUGCACUGACGCUCAUGCACGAAAGCGUGGGGAGCAAACAGG